GACAGAGGUGCCAAGCGUUAGGCGGAAUCACUGGGCUUAAAGCGUGUGUAGGCGGACUUGUAAGUACCUUGUGAAAUCCCUCGGCUCAACUGAGGAACUGCCUUUGAAACUGUUCGGCUUGAGGCCGGGAGGGGGUAGCGGAAUUCCCAGUGUAGCGGUGAAAUGCGUAGAUAUUGGGAGGAACACCAGUGGCGAAGGCGGCUACCUGGACCGGUUCUGACGCUGAGGCGCGAAAGCGUGGGUAGCAAACAGG
rnacentral:rRNA from 1 species